GUCCACGCUGAGCCCCGGGGGAGGCAGCACUGAGUCAGGAUCUGAGAGUCCCGGGGUUGGCCGUGGUGGGGAGUGGUCCGGGGCCUUGGGCCUCAGGGCCUGGCCGCUGAAGCUGGACUGCAGCGUCUGAACCUUCCUGUGUUAGGAAGCGAGUGCUGGAGACAUGCCUGCUGGUUCAGCACAGUUCUGGACACCUCCCAUCCUCAGAAGCCUUCCUGGCAAGGCCUCCCGUACGCUGGACGCCUCCCCUGGGUACUCAGCUCUCCACACCGGAGCUCCCGCCCUGUCUGCCUGAUGGCUCGCGCCCCUGAGAUGAGAGAGACAUGAGAAGGUCUCGGAUUCCUGGGUCUCCCUGCUCCCUCACGAGCUGCUGAGCAACGGGCACAUAGUGGCCUGUGAGCUCCUGGCGGCAGGGGCUGUAUCUGGUCCCCGGUUCCAGCAGAGGACACACACCCUGCCAGCGUAUGUGCGAUGAAUGGAUGAUCCUGUCAAGGAGACCGUGCCUCGAAGGGCUGGGUGUCCAAGAAACUCCACUGCAGAAUGAGACCAGAAAAAGUGCUGGAAGGGCACUCCAGAUGCCAGAGGUGAGCCAUCUACACCUCAGGAAACCCAAGCCUCUUUGCCAGGGACCCAGAGUUGGCCAGCAACAGAACCUCAGGCACCAGAUGCAGUGAAGGGCGACAAAGGCCCAGGUUGUGUUUCAGCUCCAGACCCAAAAAAAGCAACAAAACCAGACAAUCGACCCCACGGCUGACAUCAGGACCAGCUGCAUUGACUAAUGAGCCCUGGUGCCGACCAAUCAGUGGAGACCAUGACCCUCAAACGACACACCUGGAAAGCUGAUGCAUAUUCUACUGGGAUCCUCCCCUGGGCCUCCAAAUAAGAACCGUCCAGACAGA